rnacentral:pre_miRNA from 1 species
UUUGACUCUUCGUUUUAUUUAAAUUUUUGUCGCGAUUAAUAUUUUUAUUGUUAUUAGAUGAUAAAACAUAAAUAUUAUUUUACACGUGACUAAUUUUUUUAAGUUUUUCUAGAAUUUUUUCAAACAAGACGGAAUGUUAGA